GCCGGGCAUGGUGGUGCGUGCCUGUAGUCCCAGCUACUCAGGAGGCUGAGGCUGGAGGAUCUCUCGUGCCCAGGAGUUCUGGGCUGUAAUGUGCUAUGCCAAUCGGGUGUCUGCACUAAGUUUGGCAUCAAUAUGGUGACCUCCCGGGAGUGGGGGACCGCCAAGUUGCCUUGAGAUAGGUGAACCGGCCCAGGUCUUAGUGAAGCAGGUCAAAACUCCCGUGCUGAUCAGUACUGGCAUUGCUUUCUGUGAAUGCCACUGCACUGCGCCUGGGCACAUAACUAGACCCCGCCGCUA
rnacentral:SRP_RNA from 1 species